UACAAGAGUUUGUCUAUGCUUGAGUGACAC
rnacentral:piRNA from 1 species